UACGGUGGGGGCAAGCGUUGUUCGGAAUUACUGGGCGUAAAGGGCUCGUAGGCGGCCAACUAAGUCGGACGUGAAAUCCCCAGGCUCAACCUGGGAACUGCGUCCGAUACUGGAUGGCUUGAAUCCGGGAGAGGGAUGCAGAAUUCCAGGUGUAGCGGUGAAAUGCGUAGAUAUCUGGAGGAACACCGGUGGCGAAGGCGGCAUCCUGGACCGGCAUUGACGCUGAGGAGCGAAAGCCAGGGGAGCAAACGGG
rnacentral:rRNA from 1 species